rnacentral:rRNA from 1 species
AGUAACGCGUGAGUAACCUGCCUUCAAGAGGGGGAUAACAUUCUGAAAAGAAUGCUAAUACCGCAUGACAUAUCGGAACCACAUGGUUUUGAUAUCAAAGAUUUUAUCGCUUGAAGAUGGACUCGCGUCCGAUUAGUUAGUUGGUGAGGUAACGGCUCACCAAGACCGCGAUCGGUAGCCAGACUGAGAGGUUGAACGGCCACAUUGGGACUGAGACACGGCCCAGACUCCUACGGGAGGCAGCAUG